rfam:Triticum aestivum genome assembly, contig: Triticum_aestivum_CS42_TGACv1_scaffold_434104_5DL
CAUAUACUCCCUCCGUCCGGAAAUACUUAUCUUAGAAAUGGUUGAAAAUUUAUAAGACAAGUAUUUCCGGACGGAGGGAGUACUAA